CGUAGGGUGCGAGCGUUAAUCGGAAUUACUGGGCGUAAAGCGUGCGUAGGCGGUCCGCUGUGUCCCGUGUGAAAGCCCCGGGCUCAACCUGGGAAUUGCAUGGGAAACUGGCGGGCUGGAGUGCGGCAGAGGGGGGUGGAAUUCCGCGUGUAGCAGUGAAAUGCGUAGAGAUGCGGAGGAACACCGAUGGCGAAGGCAGCCCCCUGGGCCGACACUGACGCUCAGGCACGAAAGCGUGGGGAGCAAACAGGAUUAGAUACCCUGGUAGUCCACGCCCUAAACGAUGUCGACUAGGUGUUGGGGGAAGCGAUUCCUUGGUACCGUAGCUAACGCGUGAAGUCGACCGCCUGGGGAGUACGGCCGCAAGGUUA
rnacentral:rRNA from 1 species